ensembl:lncRNA
CACUGCCAGCGACCAGCAGGAAUGGGUGAAUCAGAGGCGUGAGAAACCCACGGGUGUCCAUUUGGAGCUGGGUCCUGACACGUGGAUGUGUUAUUGUGGGGUGCCCACUUGGAGCUGGGGUUAAACAUGGGUUUGGUAUUUUAGGGUGCCCGUUCAGCUCUGAGGCUCUGCAUGCUGGUUGCCAUGGGGUCCCAUUGCCAAAGGCAGAUCCCAUCCCCAGGUUGCACUUCUCCAUGGUCACGGGGCCACCAGGCUGGGGGCAGUGGGGGGAUUCAACCAGGGGGAUAUGGGGGGACGACAAGUGGGGGUUGUAUGACUUUGGGGUCAAGGGGACCAAGUAGGGGUGAGGACCUUUUGGGGACAAGUGGGACAGUUGAAGGGACAGGAGGAAGCAGGAGGGUUGUGGCCCUUUGGGAAUAAAGGG